UCUUUCAGCUAGUGCUAUUGUCUGGCGGACUCGUGCUCCCUUUUCCUGCACCCUGACGUCUGUGCAGAAGCAGAAAGAUCUUUAUGGAAGCAGAUGAAUCAUUGCUGAGGAUCAGCUGGUACCACAGAUCAGCAUGGUGGAUUUUAUGGCAAAUUUCUACAGCCAAGACACAAAUGUUGACAGAUUUCCAGCGAGGUUCUCAUUGCAGUGCCACGUUGUCAUACACUUCAGGCCCGCUAAAAUGUCAGAAGACCCCUUCUGUUCUGUGGCGGCAUCCAGGUACGUAGAGAAAA
rnacentral:lncRNA from 1 species